GGCCUGAUAGCAUAACGGCUAGUGCCUCUGUUUGAACUAUCGUAUUUUCUCAGAAUUCUGCAGAAGAUCCCCGUUCAAUUCAGGGUCAGGCCG